AGUGAUUGACUUUCCAUAACAAUUGUUUUAAGAUAGUGGAAUGUUGAUGUAGAUAGACGUGAUAUUGUAUUCUGUUGUUUGCAAUAACCUUCUUGUUCAAUGAAAUGCAGGUAGAAAUUGCUCAACCUCUAUCAAAACUUUGUCUUGAAUUUCCAGAUAUUAAUAUUGGUAAGUUUCACUAAAAUUAGUGCAACUCAUUUUGGAAUAUCAUGUCUCCCAUUCUCUUCUCAUUCUGAUGUUCCUUUUGCAAUGUGAAGGGGUUUAUCGCAAAUGCAGAAAUGGGUCAUUAAUAAUUAGUUUCCAAGGAAAGGUAAAAGAAAAUAUGAUAAUAUAUACCCAACUUGCUAAAUUUCCUUAUACAAGUUGUUCCUAUAAUUAUAAGUGCUUAACAAAACUUGUUGCAGAAGCAAGUGCGGGUUGAUUUAGCGGUAGAAGCAUUAUGCAACAUGUUCCAUCCAAGGGCAUUUACUGAAAUUAACUAAAUUUGUGGUUCUGCUCAUACUUCAAACUGUUGCUUUUGAAGCUUCAGAAGCCGAUACUUAUUCGAUAUUUGUACUGUUUGCAACAUAUAUUGAGGAGGAGGAUACCUUAUUGUCAAUCUAAAGAUCAUAUGGGAAUAUUAGUGGAGUUUACAAUCAGGAAGAGAAUAUUAUAUAUAUAUAAUCAAAAAAUAAAACCUACAUAUAAGAUGGUGACGUGAAAGUUCACACAUGCAUUAACUGCACCAAGUCUGUGAGAAGGAACGUAGCAAUGCUGGUGAACUAACAGGUUGAAAGGACGUUGUAUCAGCUUUAGGGAAGAGCUGUGUGAAGUUCACAUCUCUGUUCAACUCAGGUCACCUGGAAGUUGAACAAACAAACAGUUCCUUUGGAAUUAUGGCCAUGGUUUGGUUUACUUCAGAAUUGAAAAUGGAAAUGUAAUUUUUUAAAUGGAAUUCAUUUAUUUCCUUUGAUUAACGGAGGGAUUUACAUAUUUUUUUUUAUGAUGCUUUCAUAUUUGAAUAAAUCGAAAUUAUGUUGAAAUGAUGUCUUUAAUUAUCAAUUGUUAACUAGUUUGAAAGAUAAUUUUGAAAUAAGAUUCUUGGCAAAUAAAAUGGCUCUUU
rnacentral:misc_RNA from 1 species